AGUCAUAUGCUUGUCUCAAAGAUUAAGCCAUGCAUGUCUAAGUAUAGAUGGUAUACAAUGAAACUGCGAAUGGCUCAUUAAAACAGUUAUAGUUUAUUUGGUAACCAAACUUACAUGGAUAACCGUGGUAAUUCUAGAGCUAAUACAUGCUGUCACGCCCGACUCACGAAGGGCCGUAUUUAUUAGAUAUCAGCCAAUAAGCAUCUGCUAUUGUGGUGACUCAUAGUAACUUAAUCGGAUCGCAUGGGCUUGCCCCGCGACAAACCAUUCAAGUUUCUGCCCCAUCAUGCUUUCGAUGGUAGUGUAUUGGCCUACCGUGGCAAUGACGGGUAACGGAGAAUUAGGGUUCGAUUCCGGAGAGGGAGCCUGAGAAACGGCUACCACAUCUAAGGAAGGCAGCAGGCGCGCAAAUUACCCAAUCCCGAUACGGGGAGGUAGUGACAAGAAAUAACAAUACAGGGCAUCCAUGUCCUGUAAUUGGAAUGAGUAGAAUUUAAAUCCCUUUACGAGUAUCGAU
rnacentral:rRNA from 1 species